rnacentral:rRNA from 1 species
AAAGGAAGCGAACGAAGCUAGUGAAAGCUACGUCAUACUUUCCAACUUGCUUGCAACUUGGACGCUGUGGCGAGCCUUGUUCGGCUCGAUUGCGCAGUCGAUGUGAAAGCAGGUGACGAAAAGUUGUUUACCUUUUUUYGUCYGCCUUUGGCACAUACCRCAAUUGAGCUGAACCAAAUAGCUUUGUUUGUCCCGUCUAGAAACACGGACCAAGGAGUCUAACAUAUGUGCGAGUACUGGGGUUAUUACAUACCUACUCGGUGCGCAAUGAAAGUGUCAGAGGCUGGAAUGCAGUUGCAUUGCACAGUCCGCCGGCCUCAAUCCCUCGGGAGAAUGGUCUGAGUGUGAGCAUACAUGUUGGGACCCGAAAGAUGGUGAACUAUGCUUGAGUAGGGUGAAGCCAGGGGAAACUUUGGUGAAGGCUCGCAGCGAUUCUGACGUGCAAAUCGAUCGUCAAACUUGAGUAUAGGGGCGAAAGACUAAUCGAACUAUCUAGUAGCUGGUUCCCUCCGAAAUUUCCCUUAGGAUAGCAGCAAUCGUUGCCAGUUUUGUCA